AAGUAGUGUCUUGGCUUCUUGAGUUAUCAGAGUUACCAAAUCAUUACUUUUUUCCAAUGACUGUCUCAGCUCCACGGAAUACCUUGUCUGAACUAGCAGGGGAAAUAAAACAAUGAUAGGCCCUGACUCUUUCAUCCAUUUUUUUCAGUUUCUCAUUUCCUUUUCUCUAUCAGCAGCAGUGAGAAGCUUUGCUCUGCAAUCCCACCUAUAAGGACCUCAAAUCCUUUUGGAGCACAGACUUGGGAACCCUGUUCUGGGACCUGAUCUCUGGUUCAAUCAGAAAUAGCACAUUAUUGCAAGAAAGACUGUUCUCAUGGUGUUUGCAUCCUGCCUGGAACCACUGGACAUCUGGGAAGGAGGAAGCCUUUUCUUACAUGACUCCAGCAGAUGCAAAAGGGUAUGAGAAAAAAGCUGCAACAUACAAAACACAACUGGGAGGUUACUGAUUAAAAGUGAAGAAUACAAGACAGGAACAACUGUUAGGCUGGGCAGUUGUUGAAGAUAAUUCAAGCAUCUGAAGGAAGCUGAAUUGAACAGCAAGUAAACAAAUGAGAAGAACACCCCACCCUUCCUCUUAUUUGAAGGCUGUGCAAUUAAUGGAGAAUGUGAUCAGCCAGUCCUUCCCUUGCUGCCAGGACAAACUCUUGUUAAUUCACGUUGCCAGUGUUCUACAGAGCAACAGCAGCACUUGCCCUUCCGCUUGCCUUUUGGUUGGACAGCCAGUGGCACUGCACAGGGAGAAAGUAAGACACAAUGGAUCUGAAUCUCACACCUGGGUGGUGUGAAUGGGUGUUCUGCAUACGCUGUUGUGUCGUGGGAGGACAGGGUAUCACUGCCAUUUCGGUUGCUGCAGUAACUCCACUAUGAACAAAAAACCUCUUCCCAGUCAGUACACAGAGAAGAAUAUGAAGAAGGUGUUUUGCAGUCCCUGCUAUAUUGUGCUGUUUGUUGUAAUAACAGGAUAAGUAACAGCCAGAAAAAGAUGGAGUUGAGGGUUUCUCCACCCCCAAGUCUAUUUAUCCCUCUUGACCUCUAAGCAUCACCUUUCAGAUAGCCAGCUAACAGCAUCUGUGAGCUGGAGUUUGUACCUUUUCCCUAGACCAAAAUUAUCCACCUUUUCAGAACACAAUCGGUGAGAUCUUCAGUUAGUGUAAAUCAGCACAGAUCAAUUGAUUUCAGUGCUCUGCACAAGUCUGGUGACUCGCAUUGACUUCAGUAGAGCUAGCCAAUUUACACCAGCUGAGAGUCUGCUCCCAUAACACUAACUCUUUUAAAUCUGUACGUGUAACCUCAGUUCUUCAUUCAGUUCUUCCUGAGGCACAACUCCAGUUGAAGUCCAUCAAUUUUGCCCAAGUAAGGGCUGUUGUACACCAGAAAAUUAAAUUGACCCAGCUCUGUCGCUCAGGUUGUGAAAAUCCACAGCCCUGAGCUGAGCUAAAUUCUCCAGUAGUCAGUGCUAGGUUGAUUGGAAGAAUUCCUCCUAGCUCCUGCCUCUCCGGGAGGUGGCCUACCUUUGCAGACAGGAGAACCCCUUCCACUGGCAUACGUAGUGUCUAUGCUGAAGUGCUACAGCAGUGCGUCUGCAGCAGUGCCGUUGUGUUGCUGUAGCAUUUCAAGUGUAGACAAGCCUUAAGUAUGAAGUAAAGAAGACUUCAGGUUUGGGAGCCUUUUUUAUUGUUAUUCUUUAAUUAUAUAUCUUGUGAGUUGUUCACUUCUUGGAUGUUUUUCCAUAUGAAAAGUUUUGCCUGACUCUGCAUGCUCAAACAAAACCAGAACUACUGCCACAAGAUCUGUGAACUCAGAGAUACAACUGAGGACUCUCUGAGCCAUUGAGAAGUCUCUCUGAAUCUCUCUUUAUGUCAAAUUCAGACCCAUGGUAAUGCAUCUGAGUGAGACAUCUGCACAAUUGGCUAGCUAGAGACAGGUACCAAAAUAUCUACCCUGUCUUCUGGCAGGCAGAUUACAUCACUAUCCAAAGUAUUGCACAUUUCUGAACUAGUCUGACCUAUCUUUUUUUUCAAGCCUAUUGCUGUAAAAUAUGCUUCGACACACGCACUAAAAAAAAGCAACAAAGGUUUGUCUUGGGUUUCGGUUCUCUGGAUAGAAUAUCCCCCAAACUGGAGAUAGAACCUAUACUACAGAUUUAAGAGAUUAAAUCCUCAAGAGAGUCCUAAUAUGCACUGAGUGAAUUCAAAGUCCAAAAUACAAACUCCUGGCAGAUAAGAUUCACCUAAGGAGAGUUCCCAGGAAACAAAACGUCAUUGCUCUGUUGGAUGGGGGCAGAAGGAGGGGGAAGGAAUCAUUAGCUGAAAGCGUAAGCUGUCUGUGAAGACUUUAUAUGAAGAACUGAUGUGUGGUGAAUCAGUCCUGAAGCACUCUCUUGUGCAAUAGGCAGUCAGUGGGAGGAACACACUGUCAUUUCCCUGGGAACACCCGCAAGUAGCAUCUUACCCACUUCGCUACAGUUGGAACACACCCCAAGGAGCAGAGCAUGUAGGGCCCGACGUACACGUUGACUAUCUUCCCAUUUCACCGUGCAGGCAGCAGUACAGGAACGCCGUCUGAGCACUCUCCAGGAUGUGGUGUAUAUCGGAGCAAUUGUCAGACUGAAGUGCUGCUGUCUUGACUACCUUUCUAUUAAGAGAACAAAUCAAAAUGUUUUGAAGAACUGGAAAAUAUUGGAUCAGAAGAUUUGGCCUGUUUCUCAGCAAGUGGUUAUGUUCCCUUGAGUGUGAUUCAUAGAACCCAAACUUCCUGCACUCGUCUCAUGGACUGUUAGCUGCAAACAUUUAGUCUUCCUUUAGUACAAGGAAAAUUUCAGUUCAAUACAGAAUACUGACAAUACCGGUCAUAAUUGAUUACAAGAUAUCUUAGAUUUUCAGAGAGACCUUUUGAAAGCAUUGCAUGGGGAGAGUUUGACCACAUGAUUACUAUUCCCAUCAAUGGUCAAUGACACUUAAAUAUCCCAUGGCUACAAAGUAGGGAACCCUUGCACCUUAUAUCUCAUCUUUCAUGAGAAAAUGGAGGAACUUUGGGAAAGUCAGCAGCUGUUGGUAAAAAUCACAUCAUGCUGUAUUUUUAGAAAUAGAAAGAGCCUUGCUUCCUUUUCUAUAGAAUCUUCCUUCACCAUUUUACAGAUACAUUUUUAUAAAUUUCCAAUCCUAUACCUGUAGAAAAGGAAAGCAGGAAAGUGUUACAAGAGUUAGAAACAUUAGAAACUUCCAAGAAAAAAAGAACUCAUCAAGAAGUCCACUAAAAUGAUGGGUUCUAAAUUAGCUGUUAACACUUAAGAAGGAGAUUGAGUUAUUAUUGAGCAGAUGUUCUCAGAGAGCUAUCCACAAUGUGCAGCGGCAGUCAAAAAAGCUAACAGUAUGUUAGGAACCGUUAGGAAAGGGAUAGAUAAUAACACAGAAGAGAACAUGAUGCCACUAUAUAAAUCCAUGGUAUGCCCACACCUUGAUUACUGUAUAGAGUUCUGGUCACCUUGUCUCAAAAAAGAUAUCUUAGAAUUGGAAAAGGUACAGUGAAAGGAACAAAAAUGAAUAUAGGUAUGGAACAGCUUCCAUUUGAGGAGAGACAACUAAGAUGGAAUAUCUUCAAGAUCUAUAAAAUCGUGAAUGGUGUGGAAAAAGUGAAUAAGGAAGUGUUAUUUACCCCUUCACAUAACACAAGAAGCAGGGGUCACGCAAUGAAAUUAAUAGCACAUUUAAAACAAACAUAAGGAAGUACUACUUCACAGUCAACCUGUGGAAUUCUUUGUCAGGGGAUGUUGUGAAGGCCAAAACUAUAACAGGGAUCAAAAAAGAAUUAAUUAAGUUAAUAGAGGAUAGAUACAUCAAUGACUCUUAGCCAGGAUGGUCAAGAAUGCUACCCCAUGCUCUGGGUGUCCCUAACCCUCUGACUGCCAGAAGCUGGGCCUGGAUGACAGGGGAUCACUCUGUAAUUGCCCUAUUCUGUUCAUUUCCAGUGAAGAAUCUGGCACCAGCCACUCUCAGAAGAUAGGAUACUGGGCUAGAUGGACCACUGAUCUGAUCCAGUAUGUCCAUUCUUAUUUUCUGAAACACUGUAGGGGCAAAUGGAGGUGGGGGGUGGGAAUUCCUUGGGAUUAAAAGCCAAGAUCAAAGCGUGCUCAUGUUGCAUCUCGGCAUAUAAAAUACCAGAUACACAAGCUGUCCAUUGACUAUCAAAUAUGUCAACUGUUCUAAAGAAACAAACUGUUCAAAGAAUUAUCCAAACAGCUUUAGCUUCAUCAGGAUCUACAUCAUCAUGAAUUGAAUGGACUUCUUUGACUUAAUAACAUUACUUUAUUGUGAUGGCAACCCCUCUCCUCCUCUUUUUUUUUAAUUCUUGUCAUUAACAGAAAUUCACCCAGAUGUGCUGGUCUGGCUAAGCUGUGCUCAGUGUAGGACCAGGGACCAUUAAUGUCACUUUUGCAUUUCCAUUAUCCUAAAACCAGCUGGAGGCUGGUCCAGCUCCUAGUUUAAUUCGGUAUAUCUUGAAUGUUUAAAUUAGAGGAGCUGUGAGGUCAUUUCAGCAGCCAGGGAUUAUCAGGCCUAUGGAUGUCCUGCCCAGGUCCCUUUUCCCCAGGGACCAUGUAAGGAUGUGGUGUGAAAUUGCUAUAGAAGUCCCAAAGCACCCACGGGGAAUCCUCAGUGGGCCCUUAAAUUGUAGCUUUGACUACUUUGCAAAUAUUAGACCUACAUUUCCAGAUAGAUUCAGACUGCUCCUGUAUCUGGUAACAACAGAUGAGGCACAAUGCUGUUCUCCUACAAAAAAAAACUGCAUUAGAAGUGAACUGCAAAGGAAAAAUCUGUUAGCAGUGUGAAGCAUUGUCUGAAUUAGAGAAAUUUACUGUUUUUGUUCCUGUUAGAAUGCUUGUAAAGCACUUUGUAUCAACAGCCAGAAGUGCCCCCCAACACUUGAUGUGCAUGCCAGAUAUUGGUAUCGUUUGGCUUCAAAGCUGUUUCAAUCUCAACUGUUUCAGUUUUGGCGUAGAUGAAGGUAGGUAGGGUGAUAGCAUAGGUAAUUCAAAUAAUUCCCUUGGUACAGUCCUACGGUGAACCUGCGGCCGUUCAGAAUCUACUGCUGUUCUAAAAUGUUUUAGAAGGAAGAGCAAAACAGCACGGGUCAGAUCACAAAUCAGCAUGGCAAAGGGGCCAUAAUGUACCCCUUAAUACUUAAACCAGUUUUAUCACACAGUCCACUAUGAAGGGAUCAAUUCCUUAAUGCAGACAGGCCUAAGACUCAUCAACCUUUCCCCUCACUCCUUUACUGAGGACUGGUAAAGUAGUAAGUGUUUGCUUGUGAUAUCAAUAUUCCCUCAGUCCUCCAAAGAGCUCUCCAUCAAAAAUAGAUAAGUCCAGAAAGACCUGAUAUUUAUAACAAUAGAAAAAAUAGCAGAAGAUUAAAAGAAACCAUUCUGAGAAUGCCUUUAUAUCUCCUAAAGGAGAAGUAAAUGGUAGAUUUUUCUUUUGCAGUUCACCUUGAAGAUAUGCAGGAAAAUUUGUUGUUGUAUGAAUCACUUUCUUUAUCUCUGCAAACUCUGUUCCUUUAUUUCUGCUGCAAACAUUUGCUAACUAUAAAUAAAAGAAAUGUAUUGACACUUGG